CACGUAGGAGGCAAACGUUAUCCGGAUUUACUGGGCGUAAAGCGCGUGUAGGUGGUUCUGUAAGUAGGGCGUGAAAGCUCCCGGCUCAACUGGGAGAGGCCGUUCUAAACUGCAGAGCUAGAGGAUGGUAGAGGUAGGUGGAAUUCCAGGUGUAGCGGUGGAAUGCGCAGAUAUCUGGAGGAACACCAGUGGCGAAGGCGGCCUCCUGGACCAUUCCUGACACUCAGACGCGAAAGCUAGGGUAGCAAACGGGAUUAGAUACCCGUGUAGUCCCU
rnacentral:rRNA from 1 species